UACGUAGGGUGCGAGCGUUGUUCGGAAUUACUGGGCGUAAAGGGCGCGUAGGCGGCCUGUUAAGUCGAACGUGAAAUCCCCGGGCUCAACCCGGGAACUGCGUCCGAUACUGGCAGGCUUGAAUCCGGGAGAGGGAUGUGGAAUUCCAGGUGUAGCGGUGAAAUGCGUAGAUAUCUGGAGGAACACCGGUGGCGAAGGCGGCAUCCUGGACCGGUAUUGACGCUGAGGCGCGAAAGCCAGGGGAGCAAACAGG
rnacentral:rRNA from 1 species